rnacentral:lncRNA from 1 species
UUUCCUUCUAAUCUGCUUUUUCUCUGAAUUGGAGAGGAUCUUGAACCUUUUUGAGAACCUCCCUCAGUCCUUUGGACUCUUGUAAGUAAUCCCUUCAUGCUUAAUUAAGAGCCCCAGUAGAAGUACUUGUGCUUGCUGAUUUGAUAUACGGCUGGGAUUGAAUUUAUAUUUAGCUCAGGUACUGUACGUAAUUGGCUGGGAGCUCAGGGCGUCAAUAGGGAAUCUUGCAAGUUUUAGAUGCCUAAAGUCUGUUGAACACUUUUCUUUUAUUUUGAUCCGCCUGUGGAUCCCUUUGCAUACCGUUUGUAAUACUUUGAUAUUCUCAUUCGGUUGUAAUAAAAUUAUCUUUU